AAAUCUGUAAAUUUUAUCAGAAACGUUUUUCAAUCUGAUUUAUAUUUAAUCAGGUACAAGAACAAGAAAUUAAUGACCAUUCGGAAUAGGACACAUGUACAUAUAUACUUUUUCCCUUAGAAUGAUCGAUACUAUGACCUCCCAGAAUAUUGACCUUUCCUGCUGGGACACAGUGGCAACUACAGACCUAAUUUAUUUCAUUCCCUCGCUUAUAUAUGAGAAUAUAGAGGAGGAAUUAGUCCAUCUAAUAAAAGCCUUAAAACAUGCGUUUAUCUUUUUUGCAAAUUAACAAAUUCAGAUAUGCAAGUUAUUUGCAAAAAUGUCAGCUGCUUAGCAUUACGUGUUUUCUGUGGAACCAGAAGGCUGAGAACCAUGUUCACAAGACCAUGGAAUCCCAUCAUUAGUUGGAUGAAUUCAUUUUGCACCUUUACAUCCUACUUUCUUAAGACGACAAUCAACCUUAAUAGAUCCUCCCAUCUACGCCUGCGUCUAACAAAUAGUCUCUUCCAUUCAGGUUUUCUGACUACAAUUUUUCAUGUCCGUAAGUGUGCUACAUGUCCCACUUACCUCAGUUCUUGUUGAUUUGAUAAACGUAAUGAUUUUCUGUGAAGAGCACAAAUUAUGAUGCGCCUCGCCAUACAUUUAUUUAUGUUCUUCUCUUGCUUUCUGUCUCUUAACGUCCAAAUAUUCUCCUCAACACUUGUUCACACCACCGUCACUUUGUGUUCUUUCCGUAGGGAGAGGAGCAAAGUUUCACAGUGUUUUUAUUGAAUAACCGUAUUUAUUUUCUUUCUACUCUGAUGUGCAAAACUUAGGUUAUGUGAUACUGUAAUGUUUGAAAGCUGAUUUGUGUCAUGAAGUUAUGACCGUACCUUGAGUUUGUGGCUGAACUCUGCACCGUUCCUCGACAAUGAGCGUAUGGCAGGCAACUGGAUGAUGUCACGCAGCUGUUCUAUUGGGACAGACAGGAAUCGCUCGUUACACAGCAGCACACAAUACUACAUCUGACAAGUUACUUUUACCACGUGGUGACUGUUUACGUUUCAAGAGUUGCAUUUCUUACACAGCGUCGAAUAUGAGGAUUACUCUCAAGAAUGAAAAGUAUGCAGAAGGAAGCGGCCGUGGCCUGUGUUCAGGGUUCUAUAAUUUACCUGGAGAAAACUACGAAAAAGACCUAGAAUCGAAGUCAGAUCUACCCCAAUAUGAAGUGCUAACUACUACAGUGUUAGUCCAAACAUUUUACAUUUAAGGAGUGUUGUGGUCACGCUGUUACAUCGCGAGGACGUUGGUGACCACCAGAGCCGCCAACUCAUUGUUUAUUGUUUGAAUGAUUCUUAUCUUUCGAAUGAGUUUCCUUUUGCCUUUGUUCAUGUAAUCAAAGGAAACCGUCGUGUGGAAAAAAAUAGUGGCUGUAAUGUGAGUUAAAGAAACCUAGACCGCCAGUCAUAACAAAUAACAUUACACAGAAUGCAAACUGAAUGACGGAUAUCAGGAUAGAUUCUGGUUAAAGACCUACACCGACACUGUAUCAGUUGUAUAAUUUGUUUAUUGCCCGGUGAGACUAAGGUUUGUUGCGUAAUGGGAAAGGAAGUGGUCGUGAUAUAUUUAUUCGUCUGAUAAGGCUAAGAGAAACUUACAAAACUCCUUGGUCAGCAUAUGCCUGUUCUGGAUUGACACGUGAACCGAGCACCUUUAAACAUCAUUGUUGUGAAGAUAAUGCUUUAUAUUCGGUCUAAGUCAGUAGUAAAAUUAAUUAGCUAUUUAUAUUUGAACGAAGCAUGAAAAUAAUUUAUCGUGUUUAGAUAAUUUUAUGAUGAAACCGGACAACACAGACAAUGCCCUGUGUUAAUAGUAUUAAAAUGAAAUACAUUUUCUCAGUUAAUAAAUGAUCGUAGUUAGUUUA